AGCACGCCCCUCUCGUUUCGUCUCUCUUUCCCCGACCUCCCCUCGCCGCCGCCGCCACUAUCAACGCCAACCUCCAGCGAUGGCGUUCCUCUCUCACCCGAGCGACGAAAGGCACCCCCGCUGGUAGGUACACAUCAGACACGCACGAGGGGCCGGCCGACCGUAAGAACAAGAAGGCGAUGGUGGACGAGUCGCCGCCGCCGACGCACGUCCCAAACCAGUGGGUCGCCUUCUGCACCGACCACUCCUGGUCGCAGCGCGUGCACGGCGUUCUCCUACAUCUCAAUGACACGGGCAUCGCGGCCUUGCUGAGGUUGGAGGCGGCGCACAUGGCUAGGUAGCUCAUGAGGGUCCGAUGGGGUGAGCAGCGAGGGCGGCUAGGAGGAGAGCUCGAGACAAGCAACAUUGGAGGAAUCAUGGCGAUUAUCUCCAUGGUGCAGGGACUCCUAAUCAUCCCUCCCCUGUUCUUCUUGCUUCAGGGACUACCAUUGGGCAGCCUCUUCUUCUCCAUGGUGCUCCAGCAACUGCACAAAGAGGUCAGUUAUCUCGAUUGGUGCCACACAACUCAGGCCGGAGAUGAUGGAAGGAUCUGCACAAGAGGACGUAUCUCUGGACAACCACCAAGUGUUCUCCGUGCUAUGCUACUGCAUGAAUCGCCUCCUGGCCAGGAGGUACCACACACAACUAGAAAUAUACAGCGAAUUCGCUCAGUCUGUGUCACACGACAUCCAUCCCAUCGGUCACGAUAGACACAAGACUACCCCGCAGAUGGAUGUUGCAGCCAGUGGCCAUGACGAGGCUUAUGCCUGCGCGGAGGUGCAGUACCGGAUGCUGAGAGAAAAUGUUACCCACCCGGCUACGAGGAUAACUGGGAGGAGGAAGAACCGAGCCACAUGGGUAACUCGAAGGGAAAAAAAUCAGUGGCGCAACCGUCCAUUUUCUCAUGCCUCCCCUUCUACAGAUACACAACCACUGCCCUUGCUGCUUCUCAACUCCACCUUUGUCCUUGGCACCAUCGGAUUCAUGGAGCAACAAACAUGAUGCUUAGAAUGCUUGGGAGAUUCAUGGAGCAACAAACAUGACAUGAUCAAAUCAAACCAUUUAAUUCGAGACAAGGAUUGCUGAGUACAAAGGAUUGUAAUUUUGGCCUUCUGUACUAUUGAUGUGCGUAUUUUAUCAAUUUUCAGUGUUUAAAUUUGUUAUGUUGUGCUAUCUGGUGGAAUCUAGAAUGUGAGCAGUUGGGCACUGAUAAUAGGAACAGGAAUGGUUUUGCCGAUGAAGCAUUUUUAUAUUUGUUUUGAUACCAUGUAAUGUAAGCGCAGUUUCAGAUUGAAGAAUGUUAUUCUAAGA